rnacentral:rRNA from 1 species
GACGAACGCUGGCGGCGUGCUUAACACAUGCAAGUCGAGCGGUAAGGCCCUUUCGGGGGUACGACGAGCGGCGAACGGGUAGGAGUAACACGUGGGUGGACCUCGCCCUCCAGCUCUGGGAGUAAGCCUGGGAAACGUGGGUCUAAUACUGGAUAUGACUCCACGGUGCAUGUCGUGGGGUGGAAAGCCUUGUGCGGCUGAGGAUGGGCCCGCGGCCUAUCAGCUUGUU